GAGGGMAAGYCUGGUGCCAGCAGCCGCGGUAAUUCCAGCUCCAGUAGCGUAUAUUAAAGUUGUUGCAGUUAAAAAGCUCGUAGUUGGAGUUGUUGUGUUGAAUGAUUGGUUUGUUUGUUUGUCGGUUGUUUGAGUUUUUUUGCUUGAGCGAUUUGAUGAAUGCUUACCGCAACACAAUCCUUGAUGUUAUGUAUGAGUAUUUUUUACUUAUUCAGAACAUCAUCCUUUACUUUGAAAAAAUUGGAGUGAUUCAAGCAGGCGAAAUUACAUAUUAAAAUCUUCUUUUUAAUAUACAUUCAUUUUUGCUUCUGCACAUGUUAGCAUGGAAUAAUGCAAGAGGACUUGGGUUUUCUCUUUCAUUGGUUUCAGGAAUCCGAGUAAUGAUUGAUAGGGACAGUUGGGGGUGCUCGUACUCGACGGCCAGAGGUGAAAUUCUUGGAUUCGUUGAAGACGAACAACUGCGAAAGCAUUCACCAAGGAUGUCUUCUUUAAUCAAGAACGAAAGUUGGGGGAUCGAAGAUGAUCAGAUACCGUCGUAGUCCCAACCAUAAACGAUGCCGACCAGGGAUCAGCGAGCGUUGACUUUGUAUAAAAAUGAUUUCGGUUAUUUUUAUUACAAACCUCAUUAAUUUGAAACGACCUCGUUGGCACCUUGCGAGAAAUCACCAGUCUUUGGGCUCCGGGGGGAGUAUGGUCGCAAGGCUGAAACUUAAAGGAAUUGACGGAAGGGCACAACCAGCAGUGGAGCCUGUGGUUUAAAUUGACUCAACACGGGAAAACUUACCAGGUCCAGACAUCAUAAGGAUUGACAGAUUGAAGAUCUUUCUUGAUUUGAUGGUUGGUGGUGCAUGGCCGUUCUUAGUUGGUGGAGUGAUUUGUCUGGUUAAUUCCGUUAACGAACGAGACCUCAACCUGCCAAAUAGGUUGUUUCUUUGUUGAAAUUUGUUUGAUGAAGAUGGGUGUUUGUUUUUUCUGACUCGGCUUUUUUGUUGAUGUUGGAGAGCGCAUCCAGAGCCAAAUGGAAUUUGUUUUCUGUUUGAUUCUGCAACACUUCUUGGAGGGACUAUCAGUUCGCAUCUGAUGGAGGUUUGAGGCAAUAACAGGUCUGUGAUGCCCUUCGAUGUCCUGGGCUACACGCGCGCUACACUGAUACAUGCAUCAAGCAGUUCAUUAUUUUAUAAGUUGGUUCAAUUGAUUUUGAAUUUGACUUUGACACCUUUGCUGAUAAGCUUGGGGAAUCUUUGAACUUGUAUCGUGAUGGGGAUAGAUGAUUGCAAUUAUUCAUCUUCAACGAGGAAUUCCUAGUAAACGCGGCUCAUCAAGCCGCAUUGAAUACGUCCCUGCCCUUUGUACACACCGCCCGUCGCUGCUACCGAUUGAAUGGUUCAGCAAGUUUUACGGACUGGCGUCUUAUUUGAUUUUACGAUUGAAUGAGUUUUGGAUUUUUGAUAUUCGUAUUGAUUCCAUGUUUUUGCCGGGAAGUGACGCAAACUUGACCAUUUAGAGGAAGCAAAAGUCGUAACAAGG
rnacentral:rRNA from 2 species